rnacentral:tRNA from 2 species
GGCACUUUGGCGGAGUGGUUAACGCGCUGCCCUGCUAAGGCAGUUCCUUCGGGAGCAAGAGUUCGAAUCUCUUAGGUGUCG